rfam:Desulfotomaculum reducens MI-1, complete genome.
GUAAUAACUUGUCUCCGAGCCGCUUGGUCUAAGGCACUUGCUAUGAUCUCCCGGCCGUUAGGGUUUACUGAGAAAUUGGUAGGCCUCCCGUGUGGAAAGGAGCCGGUAUAUGCUUGGU